GCGAGAGUGGCGGAAUUGGCAGACGCACUAGACUUAGGAUCUAGCGCCUUAGGCAUGGGAGUUCGACCCUCCCCUCUCGCA
rnacentral:tRNA from 1 species